rnacentral:rRNA from 1 species
CGGCAGUACGGCAGAGUACAUGUGGGGAACGUACCCUUCAGUUCGGAACAACCCAGGAAACUUGGGCUAAUACCUGAAUACGUCCGUAAGGAGAAAGAUUUAUCGCUGAAGAGAUCGGCCCGUCGUCUGAUUAGCUUGUUGGUGAGGUAACGGCUCACCAAGGCUGACGAUCAGUAGCUGGUCUGAGAGGAUGAUCAGCCUCACUGGGACUGAGACACAGGCCCUAGCACUUCCAUACGAGGAAGGCAGACCAGAUGGGGAAUAUUGGACAAUGGGCGCAAGCCAUGAUCCAGCCAUGCCGCGUGGGUGAUUGAAGGCCCUAGGGUUGUAAAGCCCUUUCGGCGGGGAAGAUAAUAGACGGUACCCGCAGAAGAAGCCCCGGCUAACUUCGUGCCAGUAGCCGAGGUAAUACGGAAGGGGGCUAGCGUUAGCUACGGAAUCACUGGGACGUAAAGCGCACGUAGGCUGCUUCAAAGUCGGAGGUGAAAUCCUGGAGCU